AUUCCGGCUGAGGCUCGCGCCCCGCCUGGUUCCCGCCCCCAGCCUUGGCCCCUGUCCCUCCGCUCCUCCUCUGCGCGCCCCGCCUCUGCUCGCCUCCCUCCCAAGCUCGGGAGCGCCUCUGUCCAGCCAGGUGUUGACUCCGAGAGCCCUCCUUAGUAAACAUCCUCCACAGUAAUCUCUGUCUUAGAGCCUGCUUCCUGGGGAACAUAACAGCUUCUCUCCCAUGUUCAAUCAAUCACGAAGUGCUGUUGAUUUUAGCUACUGGGUAUUCCUUGAACCAUUAUGCUUGUAUCUCUACUGACAUUGCCCACUGUUUCUUGUACUACUCUCCCAGCUUCCUAAGUUGUCCACAUUUUAAUGGAUGCCUCUUUAUAUCCACCCUCCACCUUGUAACCAGAGUGCUAUGUUUGGAAUACAAAUCUGAUUAUGCCAUUCUUUGGACUUCUGCUGUGGGAAUAAACAAAGAAUUUUAAUAGAGUCUGUGAAGUCUUGGACUGCAAGGAGAUCCAACCAGCCAGUUCUAAAGGAAAUCAAUCCUCAAUAUUCAUUGGAAUGUCUGAUGCUGAAGCUGAAACUCCAAUACUUUGGCCACCUGAUGAGAAAAAGACCUUGAUGCUGGGAAAGGUUGAAGGUGGGAGGAAAAGGGGAUGAUAGAGGAUGAGAUGGUUGGAUGGCAUCACCGACUUGAUGGACAUGAGAUUGAGUAAGUUCCCUUACAUGAGAUUGAGUAAGGGAGUUGGCGAUGGACAGGGAAGCCUGGCGUGCUGCAGUCCAUGGGAUCGCAAAGAACUGGACACUACUGAGUUACUGAACUGAACUGAACUGAUGAAGUCUGCAUGGCCUGACUACUACUGACUUCUCUAACUACCUUGUUUCAAAUCACUAUGGUUCUUGUUCUCUCCACUGAAGACACUGGCCUUCUUUUUGUUCAGUUUUCAGAUAUAUGUCUUUUAGUUACAUGUCCUCUGCACAUUCUCUCUGGAAGAUUUCCUUCCUUACCCAAUUAACUUCUACUCAUCCUUCUGAUCUCAGCUCAAGUUCUCAGUAUUUUUCAGGGGUGUUUCUCCCUGCUUUCCCUCUUGGGUGGGCAGAAUUGCAAGAUGAUUCCUAAUGACUGUCACUCUUGUAUGAUCUCCUUCCCUUGGGUGUGGGUGGAACUUGUGAAUGUGAUAAGACAUUACUCCUAAGAUUAUGGUAUGUGGGCAAAAGGGAUUUUUGUGAAUAUAAUUAACAAUGCUAAUCAGUUGACCUUA